rnacentral:rRNA from 1 species
CCAAAAGCUGGCGACCGGCGCACGGGUGAGUAACACGUAUCCAACCUGCCUCAUACUCAGGGAUAGCCUUUCGAAAGAAAGAUUAAUAUCCGAUAGCAUAUAUUUCCCGCAUGGGUUUUAUAUUAAAGAAAUUCGGUAUGAGAUGGGGAUGCGUUCCAUUAGUUUGUUGGGGGGGUAACGGCCCACCAAGACUACGAUGGAUAGGGGUUCUGAGAGGAAGGUCCCCCACAUUGGAACUGAGACACGGUCCAA